CAGCCGCCGCGGUAAUACCGAGGGUGCGAGCGUUAAUCGGAUUUACUGGGCGUAAAGCGCGCGUAGGUGGUUCAUUAAGUUGGAUGUGAAAGCCCUGGGCUCAACCUGGGAACUGCAUCCAAAACUGGUGAGCUAGAGUACGGUAGAGGGUAGUGGAAUUUCCUGUGUAGCGGUGAAAUGCGUAGAUAUAGGAAGGAACACCAGUGGCGAAGGCGGCUCACUGGUCCAUUACUGACGCUGAGGUGCGAAAGCGUGGGGAGCAAACAGGAUUAGAUACCCCAGUAGUCCCUGUCUCUUAUAA
rnacentral:rRNA from 1 species